rnacentral:misc_RNA from 1 species
AAGUCGUAACAAGGUAACCGUAGGUGAACCUGCGGUUGGAUCAUUAUAGAAAUGAUUUUAUUAUUGAGGGAUCAACCUUUAAACAGUUGAUCACUCUUUACCCCAAAACCAUGUGAAUUUGUAUUUAUAAAGGAAACAAUGUGUAAAAACUUGUUUCCUUUAAUUUUAUAAACAUUUUUAAACCUUUUUUUUUAUAUUUAAAAAAUAAAAUAAAAAAAAAACAACUUUUGACAAUGGAUCUCUUGGCUCUC